AUUCCACGAUUUGAAACCAAUAUAAAUAUUGCUAUUUCUCCCUAGAUAACUGCCAUAUACCUAACAUAUGCUAAAACCAAAAGAUGGACUUCAAUUCCAUGGUCAACAGAAUACUAGAGAUGGAUGAUAUCAAAAUAGAGGAGUUCUUCAGUAUGAGCCAAAAGCAAUCCACAAGUUCAUCCCAAACCUGUACAAUAAAACCAAGAAAAAUUUGAAAUCAGAGAAAUA
rnacentral:lncRNA from 1 species